rnacentral:tRNA from 1 species
UCUCCUAUGGCGCAAUUGGUGGCGCGUCUGACUGUUAGAAUCAGAAGGUUGUUAGUUCGAGCCUAACUGGGAGAG